CUUGGGCGUCCUCUCUUUCAGUCCCCUGACUGUAGAUAUUGUUGUUUAUGAUUGGACGCACUGGUUAAGAUUAACAUCAGAACCACGAGCAGGAGCUUUGAACUCAGAGGUAUGAUCGAACAAGUCAGCUUAACCCGUCCUGGUGAGAUCAUAAAAAGCCAAACACUUAUCAUCAUAUGAGAGAUAUCAGGUAUGUCUUUAUCAAUCUUGGUUUGCGUAUGUUCUUUUGUUAUUAUUAGCUGUACGAAUACACACACUGAGGCAUGUUUUUGUUUAUCACCUAGAGCCUUUCUAGCCAUCCCAUUAUUAUUAUUAUCCAUUGUUUUACCCUGUUGAGCCUGUUAAUCAUUUAUUUUUGAUAUCCCCGUUUUUUUUCCUAAAUCCAUGACCUUGUACCUAUCCUACCCUGUUGAGCCUGUUAAUCAGUUAUUUCUGAUAUACCCGUUUGUUCUAAAUCCAUGACCUUGUACCUAUCCUACCCUGUUCAGAGUAUGUGAGGAUUAAUUUCAUCUCUACGUUUCUAUCUAAGUUUGGGGUUGCUGUUGGAAUAGCAACCUUUAAGUUUGGGGUAGCUUUGCAGUA
rnacentral:lncRNA from 1 species